GUGGUCGCGUCUGUGACGCAAGCGGCGGUGGCUGCGGCCGUCGAGUAGUGAGACCUCCAACUUUUGUCCUGUGCCGCUCUGAGGGGUAGUAGGCUUGGAGGGUAGCGAUGUCAGAGAAAAAGCAGCCGGUAGAUUUGGGUCUCCUAGAGGAGGACGACGAGUUCGAGGAGUUCCCUGCCGAAGACUGGACUGGUAUGGAUGAAGAUGAAGAUGCCCAUGUCUGGGAAGAUAACUGGGAUGACGACAAUGUCGAGGACGACUUCUCCAACCAGCUACGAGCUGAACUAGAGAAACAUGGUUAUAAGAUGGAGACGUCAUAACAUCCAGAAGAAGAGUUGACAUACUCUCAAUAUGAACCGUAUACUAAAUUCUAGGACAAGGAACCCAGGAUAGAAUGCUUAUAGAAAUACAUUUAUUUCAUUAUUUGUUUGGAUUUUUUUGUAAGAAAAAAAUAAAUGUGGUUUAAUCCUGA